rnacentral:rRNA from 1 species
GUUGACCUCGGAUCGGGUAGGGAUACCCGCUGAACUUAAGCAUAUCAAUAAGCGGAGGAAAAGAAACCAACAGGGAUUGCCCUAGUAACGGCGAGUGAAGCGGCAACAGCUCAAAUUUGAAAUCUGGCGUCUUCGGCGUCCGAGUUGUAAUUUGUAGAGGAUGCUUCUGGGUUGUCACCGGUUUAAGUUCCUUGGAACAGGACGUCAUAGAGGG